rnacentral:rRNA from 1 species
UACGUAGGGGGCAAGCGUUGUCCGGAUUUAUUGGGCGUAAAGAGCGUGUAGGCGGCUGGGUAGGUCCGUUGUGAAAACUCGAGGCUCAACCUCGAGACGCCGAUGGAAACCCUCCAGCUAGAGUCCGGAAGAGGAGAGUGGAAUUCCUGGUGUAGCGGUGAAAUGCGCAGAUAUCAGGAAGAACACCCGUGGCUAAGGCGGCUCGCUAGUACGGUACUGACGCUGAGACGCGAAAGCGUGGGGAGCGAACAGG